AACAUUAAAAUGAACAAAAAUAGUUGUCUUAAGAGUAAAAUGGAAUCUGUUUUUUCUGUGUUACCAGGAGAACUUGUAAUAGUGAGCAUUCUUCCUACACUCAGAUUUCAGUAUCAGGCUUCCAUGUGUGUUCACUUACAUACUUGAUAAGCAGAGACCAAUGAUAGUUACUGUAGUUACCAUCUUUAAGAAAAUGUACUUUAAAGUUUGCCUGGCAAUAGCAGAGACUGCAAACACCUUCCAGUGCCUGAGAAGAUUAUGACAUUACUGUUACCUUCCCCAGCUACUGAUUUGCAGCCUGACAAAAUCCUGCCAGACCCUUCAUAAGAUAUUAACUUGGCAACUAUUGACAGCGCACUGGAUCCUGACAUUUAGAAGAAAUCCCCUCUCUCCAAGCACGUCAACCAUUCGCUCAUGAUUCACAUUAGUCUUAAUAUGAGGCUACAAAUGUGCUUUUGAGGUGACUGAAAAAGCUAUGCAUCAGAUAGAUCUAAUACUUUUCUGUUAAGAACAUUUGUGUUCUGCAAACCUGCAGGAAUCAAUGUGGUGCAUGCCAGGUGUUGUGACCUAGAACUUCCAUCAUUCCUGGCAACUGGCCACACCUCUGAGGCUGACUGGAGUCCACAAUACCUGGGGGAGAGGACACCACAUUGACUAUCCCUGUUGUAAACUGUCAUGGGUAGAAUGAUGCUGUAAUUGUUCCACAUAGUCACUGGUGCUUGUACUUUACUAGCCUAGAGAAUAUAAACAGAAACACAACUAAGAGAUAUCCUGUAUACAUAAAGAAGAUAUAAAAGGGCCCCAAACUGCUAUUUUUUUAACAAUUGCUAAUUGGGCAGAAACUUAGAGUUUCCCCCCAUGAAUAUGUCUUCUUGCAUGAAUUGUUCGAAAGAAUACAAGUAUGUCUUAAUAUAUUACUGAUAUUUAAUAAAGUAUACCACCUUAAAUAUGAGAAUCUUCUCCUUUACAUACAGUAGGUUUUUAUUACUGUAAUUACUGUUGUGACUGACAUAAUAUUUGAAUA